UCCUAAGCUAAACUUAUAAGGUUACAGGACUCAUCUGAAUUUAUGUCUAUGGACAAAUAGGGAAAUUGGAAAUAAGAUAAUUCAUGAUGUUUUGAAGUGGAUAAUUUCUGUUAUAGGCAUAAAAAUGUUUUACAGUAGAACAAUUAAUUUUGCUUGGAGAUAAAUAAAGAAAAUAUAGUUAUUUUGAAGCUAAGUGCUUUAUAUGUGGCCAUAUUCAUAAAGCUGUGCAAUAUCAGCUUAUCUUCAAAUAAUGAAUCAUGACAUGAUCCUGAGUACUUAACUCGCACAUCUGUUCACUGGUUCCAUGGAUUGCAUGCCACCUGCAUGCUUAGUGAUUUCCAGCUCCUAAAUAUAGUUUCAUUAUGAAUUGAGGAACAAAUAAACACAUGUGCACUGUCAGUGCACAACUCAGACAGAUGGAAAAGCUGCAGAUCAAAUGGUGUAAAAUGCAUGCAUAAGUUGGUGUGUGUGUAACAUUUUGAAAAACAAAUAAAUCUAUUAGCUCUUUUGAGAAGAUCAUCAAUGAACUGGUCAAUGCACCUGGAAAGAAGUAAUCAGCUAGCACCUGCUCCUUCUGCUGUCUGUCUGAAAUGAUUGUGUUUACAGGAAUCCUUAACCUAUUAAAACUUUUCCCAUCACAGGUCUGAGCUGACUCUUACAGCUCCACAAAUCUUUCUCUACUGUCCCACAGCCAUGGAGACUAUUCAAGGCAUGUGCCUGGUGAGACCAGAGGUUGACUUUCCCACAGCCAUGGAGACUAUUCAAGGCAUGUGCCUGGUGAGACCAGAGGUUGACUUUCCCAGCACCUUUCAUGAAAGAGAAUUCCACAAGGACAAUGAAAACUUACUAAUCAAAAUAAAUGUAUGAGCUAAGGAAAUAAUCCCAGGAUUGUCACAAACUCUGCUUAACACUGUCCUGAUACCCCUGUGGCUUGUCACCUGGAUCUACUGGGUAUUCACAGCAUGUUCUGACCACAGCUAUGUAUGAGUUCAUCAACAAGAUACCAGAGAAAACUGAUGAACACAUUUGUGUUUAUGAUAUGCCAUGAACCAGGAAGG